AGAGUUUGAUCAUGGCUCAGGAUCAACGCUGGCGGCGUGCCUAAUGCAUGCAAGUCGAGCGCGGGCCCUUUCGGGGGUGCUGCGCGGCGGACGGGUGCGUAACACGUGGGCAACCUGCCCUGGGGUGGGGGAUAGCCGUGGGAAACCGCGGGUAAUUCCGCAUACGAGCGGUUCUCGAGCGGGGGACUGCUGAAAGGGAGCGAUCCCGCCCUGGGAGGGGCCUGCGGCCGAUUAGCUAGACGGUGGGGUAACGGCCUACCGUGGCGAUGAUCGGUAGCUGGUCUGAGAGGACGGCCAGCCACACGGGGACUGAGACACGGCCCCGACUCCUACGGGAGGCAGCAGCAAGGAAUCUUCCGCAAUGGGGGCAACCCUGACGGAGCAACGCCGCGUGGGGGAUGACGCGCUUCGGCGUGUAAACCCCUUUUCUUCGGGAAGAAGGGCUUCGGUCUUGACGGUACCGGAGGAAGAAGGACCGGCUAACUACGUGCCAGCAGCCGCGGUAAUACGUAGGGUCCAAGCGUUGUCCGGAGUUACUGGGCGUAAAGCGCGCGCAGGCGGCGGUGCUGGCCCGGCGUGAAAGCCCCCGGCUCAACCGGGGAGGGUCGUCGGGGACCGCACCGCUUGAGGGCGGUAGGGGCUGGUGGAAUGCCUGGUGUAGUGGUGAAAUGCGUAGAGAUCAGGCGGAACACCCGUGGCGAAGGCGGCCAGCUGGGCCGUCCCUGACGCUGAGGCGCGAAGGCGUGGGGAGCGAACGGGAUUAGAUACCCCCGUAGUCC
rnacentral:rRNA from 1 species